AGAGUUUGAUCCUGGCUCAGAUUGAACGCUGGCGGCAUGCCUUACACAUGCAAGUCGAACGGCAGCACGGAGCUUGCUCUGGUGGCGAGUGGCGAACAGGUGAGUAAUAUAUCGGAACGUACCCUAGAGUGGGGGAUAACGUAGCGAAAGUUACGCUAAUACCGCAUACGAUCUAAGGAUGAAAGUGGGGGAUCGCAAGACCUCAUGCUCGUGGAGCGGCCGAUAUCUGAUUAGCUAGUUGGUAGGGUAAAAGCCUACCAAGGCAUCGAUCAGUAGCUGGUCUGAGAGGACGACCAGCCACACUGGAACUGAGACACGGUCCAGACUCCUACGGGAGGCAGCAGUGGGGAAUUUUGGACAAUGGGCGAAAGCCUGAUCCAGCAAUGCCGCGUGAGUGAAGAAGGCCUUCGGGUUGUAAAGCUCUUUUGUCAGGGAAGAAACGGUGAGAGCUAAUAUCUUUUGCUAAUGACGGUACCUGAAGAAUAAGCACCGGCUAACUACGUGCCAGCAGCCGCGGUAAUACGUAGGGUGCAAGCGUUAAUCGGAAUUACUGGGCGUAAAGCGUGCGCAGGCGGUUUUGUAAGUCUGAUGUGAAAUCCC
rnacentral:rRNA from 1 species